UACGUAGGGUGCGAGCGUUAUCCGGAAUUAUUGGGCGUAAAGAGCUCGUAGGCGGUUUGUCGCGUCUGUCGUGAAAGUCCGGGGCUUAACCCCGGAUCUGCGGUGGGUACGGGCAGACUAGAGUGCAGUAGGGGAGACUGGAAUUCCUGGUGUAGCGGUGGAAUGCGCAGAUAUCAGGAGGAACACCGAUGGCGAAGGCAGGUCUCUGGGCUGUAACUGACGCUGAGGAGCGAAAGCAUGGGGGAGCGAACAGG
rnacentral:rRNA from 1 species